rnacentral:rRNA from 1 species
UACGAAGGGGGCUAGCGUUGUUCGGAUUUACUGGGCGUAAAGCGCACGUAGGCGGAUCGUUAAGUCGGGGGUGAAAUCCUGGAGCUCAACUCCAGAACUGCCUUCGAUACUGGCGAUCUUGAGUCCGGAAGAGGUGAGUGGAACUCCUAGUGUAGAGGUGAAAUUCGUAGAUAUUGGGAAGAACACCGGUGGCGAAGGCGGCGACCUGGUCCGAUACUGACGCUGAGGCGCGAAAGCGUGGGGAGCAAACAGG